rnacentral:rRNA from 1 species
UACGUAGGGGGCAAGCGUUGUCCGGAUUUAUUGGGCGUAAAGAGCGUGUAGGCGGCCUGAAAGGUCAGCUGUGAAAACUCGAGGCUCAACCUCGAGACGUCGGUUGAAACCAUCUGGCUAGAGUCCGGAAGAGGAGUGUGGAAUUCCCGGUGUAGCGGUGAAAUGCGUAGAGAUCGGAAGGAACGUCAAUGGCGAAGGCAGCCACCUGGCAUCAUACUGACGCUGAGGCGCGAGAGCGUGGGGAGCGAACAGG